UUACGGGUUGGCCGGAAGGCUACCGAGU
rnacentral:sRNA from 1 species